rnacentral:rRNA from 1 species
CAACUUUCAACAACGGAUCUCUUGGUUCUGGCAUCGAUGAAGAACGCAGCGAAAUGCGAUACGUACUGUGAAUUGCAAAAUUCAGUGAAUCAUCGAAUCUUUGAACGCACAUUGCGCCCUUUGGUAUUCCAAAGGGCAUGCCUGUUCGAGCGUCAUUU